rnacentral:rRNA from 1 species
UACGUAGGUGGCAAGCGUUGUUCGGAAUUAUUGGGCGUAAAGGGCGCGUAGGCGGUUUGUUAAGUCGGCUGUGAAAGCCCGGGGCUCAACCCCGGAGGGUCAGCCGAUACUGGCAGACUAGAGUACGGAAGAGGUAGCUGGAAUUCCCGGUGUAGCGGUGAAAUGCGUAGAUAUCGAGAGGAACACCUGCGGCGAAGGCGGGUAGCUGGGCCGACACUGACGCUGAGGCGCGAAAGCCAGGGGAGCGAACGGG